UUUUAAUCCUCCUGGCACACGUUUAUCACUUAUCGUAAUCUUGUAAUUACGUGUGUUCCACAAAUGUUAAUUGCAAAAAGGGAUACAUCGAUAGUCUAAAGGCAUUCCUGGCUACUGGUUAUCUUUAAUGGCUUGUACGUAUUCGAAUUUGGCGGCCACAACCACCACGAAAUAGACUUCCAUUACUGGAAGAGGAGUACUUAUAUAGGAGAAACAUUAGGGAGAGCUACUUACCCAGGACACAAAAGAACACCAUCACCAGAAUCCAACGCAUAUAGACAAAGGCCAGUGCCAGGACCACCACUGCAUAGACUACACACACGAAGACCGCCUUCAGCAGCCAGACUCCCACAGCCAUCACUCCCAACUAUCCAGAACUAAGGAUUAGAUACCUAUUUUAAAGAACUAAUAACUCCUCUCACAUUAAAGUGCUUGGUUCCAAUAAUAAUGAAGCAGUCU